rnacentral:tRNA from 1 species
GCGCCCGUAGCUCAGUGGACAGAGCGUUGGCCUCCGGAGCCAAAGGCCGCAGGUUCAAAUCCUGCCGGGCGUA